CACUCCUACGGGAGGCAGCAGUGGGGAAUUUUGGACAAUGGGCGAAAGCCUGAUCCAGCAAUGCCGCGUGAGUGAAGAAGGCCUUCGGGUUGUAAAGCUCUUUUGUCAGGGAAGAAACGGUGAGAGCUAAUAUCUCUUGCUAAUGACGGUACCUGAAGAAUAAGCACCGGCUAACUACGUGCCAGCAGCCGCGGUAAUACGUAGGGUGCAAGCGUUAAUCGGAAUUACUGGGCGUAAAGCGUGCGCAGGCGGUUUUGUAAGUCUGAUGUGAAAUCCCCGGGCUCAACCUGGGAAUUGCAUUGGGGACUGCAAGGCUAGAAUCUGGCAGAGGGGGGUAGAAUUCCACGUGUAGCAGUGAAAUGCGUAGAUAUGUGGAGGAACACCGAUGGCGAAGGCAGCCCCCUGGGUCAAGAUUGACGCUCAUGCACGAAAGCGUGGGGAGCAAACAGGAUUAGAUACCCCUGUAGUCCCA
rnacentral:rRNA from 1 species